UCAUUUUUAUUUAUUUUUCUGUAUAUUCAUUCCGCAUCACUAUUCUCUGGUUCUUUAUCAUAUAUUUUUUUUCAUUUUCUCCCUUCCCCUCCCUUUUUUCUCCUCAGCCCACCUCUCUCUUUUUUUUUAUUUUUUUUCCUUUUUCUUCCCGUCCAGCACCGUUUUGUUUGGCUCAUCUUCCUGCCAAUCGCCCCAUUUUUUUUCUGGCCCAUCUUUUUGCCAAUCGCCCAGCCUCGUCUUCCUCGCCGCGAACGGUGGACUCUAGUAGCGCCAGCCGCUAGCGCCCGUUGAUCUCUCCUUGAUUCUCUCUCGUCUGGAUGUUUCUCCUAAAAUUGAAACAUCUGAAUUAUUUCUCAUCACGAACCGGGUCUGACUUUCAGUUCCACGUUUCAUCUCCAAAUUUUUUUUCCGACUUAUGAAUCUCGCCCCACUCGUAAUAGAGGCAAAAAUCCUACCCGGCUUGCUCUACAUCGUCCUCCGUCCCAAUGGUCAACGUUGUGACAGCAAGGAGCUCUAAGCGCGUGUGCAGGUGGCACGGGCAGGAUGCUGUUGUUACAACUCGGUCGGCUCGAGGUCGCCGUCGAUGACAUGCAAAGCCGCCAGCCGUCGACGGUGGCGGUCGGGACAAAGGUUGGGAGGAUGGGAGGAGUAGCAGCGGCCAGAGCGGAGUUGGCCGGGAUGAAGAUUUGGUUUUCUCGCUCUCUUGAUUCGGAUCCGAAGCAGUGCCCGGGGUGCUACGAUUGGUGAUGAGGCGGAUCGUCGCGAGCGCCGUGUGUGAGGAGGGGGUGGAUCGGGCGGGCGUGCGAGGAGGAGGCAGGGCGAGAAAGAGAUCGGGGAUUUGGAUUUGGAUCGCAUUGCUCGAGUUUGUGUUAGGGAUGGGACGUGAGGAGACAGAGAGGGGAAAGUUCGUGUUUGACUUGGAUGGGAUGUGAGGAAGAGGGAGAGGGGGGGCGACAAAGAGAUCGGGGAUUUUGGGCCAGAGAGGUGACGUACGGGCAACGCCCGCGGUCCUCACUGCCAACUGCAAUUUAACACUCCCUUCAUUCUUUAAAGAUUGGCAUAUUAACUUUUAUUAAGACAAGGGUUUCACCACAAAUUACUAUGCCAAUGUAUGGUUUAUAUGAU
rnacentral:lncRNA from 1 species